UGGAGAAGUGAUGAUACAAUAUCCAUACAAGAAUUCUGCAUUCACUGUGAUGAUACAUCAUGCACUACCAUCUGAUCUCCU